UACGGAGGGUGCAAGCGUUGUCCGGAAUCACUGGGCGUAAAGGGCGCGUAGGCGGCUCAUGAAGGCUGUGGUGAAAGUCCGGGGCUCAACCUCGGAUCGGCCGUGGCGACUCGUGGGCUGGAGCACUGUAGAGGCGGGUGGAAUUCCGGGUGUAGCGGUGGAAUGCGUAGAGAUCCGGAAGAACACCAGUGGCGAAGGCGGCCCGCUGGGCAGUGGCUGACGCUGAGGCGCGACAGCGUGGG
rnacentral:rRNA from 1 species